GCCGGAGUGGCGGAAUUGGUAGACGCACUCGACUCAAAAUCGAGCGGUGAAAGCCGUAGGGGUUCGAGUCCCCUCUCCGGCACCA
rnacentral:tRNA from 1 species